AGAGUUUGAUUCUGGCUCAGAUUGAACGCUGGCGGAAUGCUUUACACAUGCAAGUCGAACGGCAGCACGGGAGCUUGCUCCUGGUGGCGAGUGGCGAACGGGUGAGUAAUGCGUCGGAACGUACCGAGUAAUGGGGGAUAACGCAGCGAAAGCUGUGCUAAUACCGCAUACGCCCUGAGGGGGAAAGUGGGGGAUCGUAAGACCUCACGUUAUUCGAGCGGCCGACGUCUGAUUAGCUAGUUGGUGGGGUAAAGGCUCACCAAGGCGACGAUCAGUAGCGGGUCUGAGAGGAUGAUCCGUCACACUGGAACUGAGACACGGUCCAGACUCCUACGGGAGGCAGCAGUGGGGAAUUUUGGACAAUGGGGGCAACCCUGAUCCAGCCAUUCCGCGUGAGUGAAGAAGGCCUUCGGGUUGUAAAGCUCUUUCAGCCGGAACGAAACGGUACGCACUAAUAUUGUGUGCUAAUGACGGUACCGGCAGAAGAAGCACCGGCUAACUACGUGCCAGCAGCCGCGGUAAUACGUAGGGUGCGAGCGUUAAUCGGAAUUACUGGGCGUAAAGCGUGCGCAGGCGGAUUGUUAAGCAAGAUGUGAAAUCCCCGGGCUUAACCUGGGAAUGGCAUUUUGAACUGGCAGUCUAGAGUGUGUCAGAGGGGGGUGGAAUUCCACGUGUAGCAGUGAAAUGCGUAGAUAUGUGGAGGAACACCAAUGGCGAAGGCAGCCCCCUGGGAUAACACUGACGCUCAUGUACGAAAGCGUGGGUAGCAAACAGGAUUAGAUACCCUGGUAGUCCACGCCCUAAACGAUGUCAACUGGUUGUUGGGGGAGUGAAAUCCCUUAGUAACGAAGCUAACGCGUGAAGUUGACCGCCUGGGGAGUACGGUCGCAAGAUUAAAACUCAAA
rnacentral:rRNA from 1 species